rnacentral:tRNA from 1 species
GAGGGUCUAGCUCAGUGGUGGAGUGUGUGCUUAGCAUGCACUAAGUCCUGGGUUCAAUCCCCAGAACCUCCA